rnacentral:rRNA from 1 species
UACGUAGGUGGCAAGCGUUGUCCGGAUUUACUGGGCGUAAAGAGCGCGCAGGCGGCCAAGUAAGUCGAAUGUGAAAGCCCCCGGCUUAACUGGGGAGGGUCAUUCGAUACUGCCUGGCUCGAAGACAGGAGAGGGAAGCGGAAUUCCCGGUGUAGUGGUGAAAUGCGUAGAUAUCGGGAGGAACACCAGUGGCGAAGGCGGCUUUCUGGCCUGUUCUUGACGCUGAGGCGCGAAAGCUAGGGGAGCAAACGGG